rnacentral:rRNA from 1 species
UGAGGAAUAUUGGGCAAUGCCCGCAAGGGUGACCCAGCAACGCCGCGUGGAGGAUGAAUGUCGUAAGAUUGUAAACUCCUGUUAGAGGGGAAGAAUAGUACCGGUUGGACCGGUAUAUGACUGUAACCUCAGAGAAAGCCCCGGCUAACUACGUGCCAGCAGCCGCGGUAAUACGUAGGGGGCAAGCGUUGUCCGGAUUUACUGGGUGUAAAGGGCGCGCAGGCGGGAUAAAAAGUCAGUGGUGAAAUCCUACAGCUUAACUGUAGAACUGCCUUUGAUACUUUUAUUCUUGAGUUCGGGAGAGAGAGACGGAAUUCCAGGUGUAGUGGUGAAAUACGUAGAUAUCUGGAAGAACACCAGUUGCGAAGGCGGUCUCUUGGUCCGACACUGACGCUGAGGCGCGAAAGCGUGGGGAGCAAACA